CUGGGAGGGGUGUCACAGCGUGAAGGAGGUGCUGAGUGAGAGGACAGUUUAUGUUGAAGAAUGUAUCACUGUGUUAUGUGUUUGGCUCCGGGACCCAGCUGACCGUCACAGGUCAGCCCAAGUCUGCACCCUCAGUCACUCUCUUCCCACCGUCCUCUGAGGAGAUCACUGAGGCCAAAAAGGCCACACUGGUGUGUCUGAUGAACGACUUCUAUCCCGGCUCUGUGACGGUGACCUGGAAGGCAGAUGGCACCCCCAUCAACCAGGGCAUAGAGACCACCAAGCCGUCCAAACAGAGCAACAACAAGUAUGCGGCCAGCAGCUACCUGAGCUUGACGCCCGCCAAGUGGCAAUCUCACCGUGAGAUCACCUGCCAGGUCACGCACGAAGGCAGCACCGUGGAGAAGACAGUGGGCCCUUCAGAGUGUUCUUAGGGCCCUUAGGUGCCACCAAAGGCAUCAUCCUCACCUCAACACCCACACCCUUUCCCCGGAUCUCCAGUGUUCCCUGAGUCUGCUAUAAGUCUGGACUCCCUCUUUCAUAUAACUACUAUCCCUCAAUAAAAAUAA